rnacentral:rRNA from 1 species
GAUGAACGCUAGCUACAGGCUUAACACAUGCAAGUCGAGGGGAAACGGCAUUGAGUGCUUGCACUCUUUGGACGUCGACCGGCGCACGGGUGAGUAACGCGUAUCCAACCUUCCCAUUACUGUGGGAUAACCUGCCGAAAGGCAGACUAAUACCGCAUAGUCUUCGAUGACGGCAUCAGAUUUGAAGUAAAGAUUUAUCGGUAAUGGAUGGGGAUGCGUCUGAUUAGCUUGUUGGCGGGGUAAUGGCCCACCAAGGCUACGAUCAGUAGGGGUUCUGAGAGGAAGGUCCCCCACAUUGGAACUGAGACACGGUCCAAACUCCUACGGGAGGCAGCAGUGAGGAAUAUUGGUCAAUGGACGGAAGUCUGAACCAGCCAAGUAGCGUGCAGAAUGACGGCCCUAUGGGUUGUAAACUGCUUUUGUAUGGGGAUAAAGUUAGGGACGUGUCCCUAUUUGCAGGUACCAUACGAAUAAGGACCGGCUAAUUCCGUGCCAGCAGCCGCGGUAAUACGGAAGGUCCAGGCGUUAUCCGGAUUUAUUGGGUUUAAAGGGAGCGUAGGCUGGAGAUUAAGUGUGUUGUGAAAUGUAGACGCUCAACGCCUGAAUUGCAGCGCAUACUGGUUUCCUUGAGUACGCACAACGUUGGCGGAAUUCGUCGUGUAGCGGUGAAAUGCUUAGAUAUGACGAAGAACUCCGAUUGCGAAGGCAGCUGACGGGAGCGCAACUGACGCUUAAGCUCGAAGGUGCGGGUAUCAAACAGG